rnacentral:hammerhead_ribozyme from 1 species
ACCAGCUGACAUGUCCCAAACAGGACCAAGCGCGCGUCCUGGAU